CCCCCGCCCCCGCCCCCCAGAGCGCCGGCCCCGGGAACGCCCUCGGAGAGCGCUCCGGCCCCUGCAGCCGCCGCGCGCAGAGCGCCGCUGAGCCGCGGCGGGGAGCAUGCGGGACUACGACGAGGUGACCGCCUUCCUGGGCGAGUGGGGGCUCUUCCAGCGCCUCAUCUUCUUCCUGCUCAGCGCCAGCAUCAUCCCCAACGGCUUCAACGGCAUGUCCGUCGUGUUCCUGGCGGGGACCCCCGAGCACCGCUGCCGGGUGCCCGACUCCGCCAACCUGAGCAGCGCCUGGCGCAACCACAGUGCCCCGCUCCGGCUGCAGGACGGCCGCCCGGUGCCGCACAGCUGCCGGCGCUACCGGCUCGAGGCCAUGGCCAACUUCUCGGCGCUCGGGCUGGAGCCGGGGCGCGACGUGGACCUGGAGACGCUGCAGCAGGAGGGCUGCCUGGACGGCUGGGAGUUCAGCCAGGACGUCUACCUGUCCACCAUCGUCACCGAGUGGAACCUGGUGUGUGAUGACGACUGGAAGACGCCGCUCACCUCCUCCCUGUUCUUCGUGGGCGUGCUCAUUGGCUCCUUCUUCUCCGGACAGCUGUCCGACAGGUUUGGCAGGAAGAGAGUCCUCUUUGCCACCAUGGCUGUGCAGACCAGCUUCAGCUUCCUGCAGAUUUUCUCCAUCAACUGGGAGAUGUUCACCGUGCUGUUUGUCAUUGUCGGCAUGGGCCAGAUCUCCAACUACGUGGUCGCCUUCAUACUAGGCACAGAAAUUCUUGGCAAGUCAGUUCGUAUUAUAUUCUCCACAUUAGGAGUGUGCACAUUUUUUGCAGUCGGCUACAUGCUGCUGCCACUGUUUGCUUACUUCAUCAGAGACUGGCGGAUGCUGCUGCUGGCGCUGACCGUGCCGGGGCUGCUGUGCGUCCCGCUGUGGUGGUUUAUUCCUGAAUCUCCACGGUGGCUGAUAUCCCAGAGAAGGUUUAACGAGGCUGAAGCUAUCAUCCAAAAAGCUGCAAAAAUGAACAAGGUAGCGGUCCCGGCGGUGAUUUUUGACCCUGUGGAGCUACAGGAGCUAAAACCCCUGAAGCAGGAGAAAAUUUACAUUCUGGACCUGUUCAGGAAAAGAAAUAUUGCCACAAUAACCACUAUGUCUAUACUGCUAUGGAUGCUAACCUCUGUCGGUUACUUCGCUCUGUCUCUCGACUCUCCUAAUUUACAUGGAGAUGCCUACCUGAACUGUUUCCUCUCUGCCCUGAUUGAAGUUCCAGCUUACAUCACAUCCUGGCUGCUCCUGCGAACCCUGCCCAGACGGUAUAUCAUCGCUGGAGUGCUGUUCUUGGGAGGAGGCGUGCUUCUCUUAAUUCAACUGGUACCUGCAGGUCUCUUCUCCAGAUUACAACUUCUUGUCCAUCGGCAUGGUGAUGUUAGGGAAAUUCGGGGUCACCUCUGCCUUCUCCAUGCUGUACGUCUUCACCGCAGAGCUCUAUCCCACGCUGGUCAGAAACAUGGCUGUGGGCGUCACCUCCAUGGCCUCCAGAGUGGGCAGCAUCAUCGCUCCCUACUUCGUGUACCUCGGUGCUUACAACAGAGCUCUGCCCUACAUCCUCAUGGGCAGCCUGACCAUCCUGAUCGGAAUCAUCACCCUGUUUUUCCCUGAAAGUUUUGGAAUGGCUCUACCGGAGUCCUUAGAGGACAUGCAGAAAGUUAAAUGCACGUAUCUUAUUUUCAGGUUCAGGUCUGGGGAAAAAGCAAGAGACUCAAUGAACAACGAAGAAAACCCCAAAGUUCUAAUAACUUCAUUCUGAUAAAAUGUCUACCCCUCUCGGUGAACUGAAAAACAGAGAUGUAAGACCCUGAAGAAACCAAAGCUUUUCCUGAUGAAAUGGACUGACUAUAACCAAACGGACCCUGCUGUUGAGAAAUGCUUGUCAUCUAGCAAAAUCUGGUCCACUCUUCCACACAAUCUCCU